rnacentral:rRNA from 1 species
GACAAACGCUGGCGGCUUGCUUAACACAUGCAAGUCGAACGGAAAGGCCCUGCUUUUGUGGGGUGCUCGAGUGGCGAACGGGUGAGUAACACGUGAGUAACCUGCCCUUGACUUUGGGAUAACUUCAGGAAACUGGGGCUAAUACCGGAUAGGAGCUCCUGCUGCAUGGUGGGGGUUGGAAAGUUUCGGCGGUUGGGGAUGGACUCGCGGCUUAUCAGCUUGUUGGUGGGGUAGUGGCUUACCAAGGCUUUGACGGGUAGCCGGCCUGAGAGGGUGACCGGCCACAUUGGGACUGAGAUACGGCCCAGACUCCUACGGGAGGCAGCAGUGGGGAAUAUUGCACAAUGGGCGGAAGCCUGAUGCAGCAACGCCGCGUGCGGGAUGACGGCCUUCGGGUUGUAAACCGCUUUCGCCUGUGACGAAGCGUGAGUGACGGUAAUGGGUAAAGAAGCACCGGCUAACUACGUG